GCCUGGCUGGCUCAGUUGUAAGAGCAUAUGAGUUUUGAUCUCAGGGUUGUGAGUUCGAGCCCCACGUUGGGUA
rnacentral:tRNA from 1 species